rnacentral:rRNA from 1 species
CGAAUGGGCGCAGUGAGCGAACGCAAUUAUUUAGCAAUAAAAUGAAUGCGGUUGUCUUGUUGCGCUUUAAUUCGUCGUUUGCAGCGUGCGCCUCUUUGCUUGUCCGCCGAGUAUAGUAUACGGUUCCUUUAGUGGGACUCUCCGUAAAAAAGAGCUGCUAUACUCAACGAUUACUUUACUUUGGAACUUGCAAUAUCUUGGGGAAUCCGACUGUUUAAUUAAAACAAAGCAUAUCGAUGAUGUGAAAACGUGUUUACGAUAUGUGAAUUCUGCCCCGGUGCUACGAAUAUCAUGAUGAAGAAAUUCGUCUAAGUGCUGGUCAACGGCGGGAGUAACUAUGACUCUCUUAAGGUAGCCAAAUGCCUCGUCAUUUAAUUAGUGACGCGCAUGAAUGGAUCAACGCGAUUCCCACUGUCCCAAUCUGCAUUCGAGCGAACGCACAGCCAAGGGAACGGGCUUGGUAAAAAUUGGCGGGGAAAGAAGACCCUGUUGAGCUUGACUCUAGUUUGUGAUUGU